AUUUAACAGUGUUAAUGUUUGGGGUCUGGAGCCUAGGCCUCAGGAGUCCUUUCAGCCUCUGUCUUCCCCCACUUGGAAUCCUGCCCUGAGACUUCCAUGAACAGAAGCUGGUUCAGCCUCCAUGAGGAUAAAAAGCCUUGUGGAGGGAAACCAAGGUGCCCCAGACAACGGCCAGCAACAACUGCCAGGGUCUCAGGCCAAUGGACCAGUAGCCUGUGAUUCUGAUGAGCGCUCUGAAAACAGGUGAAAACUGUUCAUCCCUUCUUUGGCGUCCUCAUCACAGGUGGUAGAAUUGAACUGCUCCUAGCAGAACCUGGGAAGAAAUACCUCGAGUCAGUUUGUUUUCUGAGUUCUGCCACGGUUAACGGACUUCCUGUGUAGGAGAUGCAGCUGUAGCCUGGCCACAGAAACAGAAGCAUACAGUUUCCACCUCUGACAAUGAAAGCUGGGCCUCGUGAGAGCUGGGAAAACCUGGGUCUGAAUCUUCCCACUUAGCUCGAAGCUCCUGUCUGGACCACAGCAGCCAAUUCUCACAACAUACAGUAGGAUCACGGCGUGAAGAGCACUGACUUAGAAGCUGCAUACGAACACGGCAAAUGACCAGAGAGCAGACACACCAGCUCUGGUGGGACAGCGUUCCUUGGGGAAAACACAGAGACAGGAACAGAUGCUGAAGAUGAACAGCAAGGAUCUCUUGGGAAAAAAUAUAUCUUCAAACAAGGGAGAUCCAGAAAAGCUUUUGUCUUCCAGGCUAGACUAUAGCCUUCUAUGGCCAAGAUGGAAACAGGCUGCAAUGUGGAUAUGAUGGCUGGAGCUGAAGCAGCCAUCCUGUGACCCUGAGAAUGGAAGCCAUUUAUUAAGGCUGAGGAGCUAACCUAAGAGCUCUGAAUGCCUACUUCUAGACUUUCUUUUAGAAAGAGAAACAAAUACUUAUGUAUUUAAGACAUCUUUUUCUUGGGGGUGAGGGAGUAACCUAAUCCUGAUAUGAUUGGUCUUUUUUUUUUUUUGGAAUGAUUGACUAUGGGAAUUUCUCCUUUCUUAAGGAGUAAUACCAACCCCCACCACUAGGGGGUGACCUUGCUCUAUAUGCUGCAACGUGACAGUUACAUUAUUACAGAGGUCCAAACUCAGUAUAUUCUGUAUAAUUUAGUUUAAAUAACAGUGUGAGUGAGACAGCUAUGGCCCAGUAUGUUUGGGCUGAGCUUUGAUGAACUCCAUCAAAUUCCUCUAGCAUGAGAUCUGGAUUUCAAGUUUUUCUUGUUUUUUCAACUCUAGACCCUCAGCUUCUGCAAGCAAGCCCCCAAACCAAAGAAAGUAUACAUAGAGGAAGCUCAGAUUAAGGCAAAAAACAGUUUGUAUUUCCAAACGGAACAGUGAGCUUCCAGUUCAAAUGGCAUUGAAGUUAAUGGUAACUGCACUUUCUAAUAAGAAGCACUGGGUUGGAGUUUCCUUGUGGCUCAGCAGGUUAAGAACCUGGCAUAGUCUCCAUGAGGCUGCGGGUUCUAUCCCUGGCCUUGCUCAGUGGGUUAAGGAUCCAGCGAUGCUGUGAACUGUGGUGCAGGUUGCAGAUGUGCCUCGGAUCUGGUGUUGCUGUGGCUGUGGUGUAGGCCUUCAGCUGCAGCUCCGAUUCAACCCCUAGCCUGGGAACUUCCAUAUGCUGCAGGCACGGCCAUGAAAAGAAAAAAAGAGGAAGUAGCAGCAGCAGUGGGUCAACACUGGCUUUAUGUUUGUGUAAAUAAAGAUCCCUGUCUGGGAGGUCUAAUGAAGGUUCUGCUAUGAAAGGAUUUAUUGAAAUUUUCACUUCCUCAAGGUAGAAAAUCACUUGAAGUACUUAAGUGACUUUUUCCAGUUUAUACUCAUCAAAGUUUCAAAAAUCUCCAGGCUGGGAGUUUCAGUCAUUAAAAAUCUGAUGUGAUGGGAGCAAUUUAUCUAGCUCUCACUCUGGCUCAGGGCAGGUUGCUUUCUCAAAAUGAAAGUACAGUACCAGUGCUGUAAAAAAACAAAACAAAAAAAGCCCCACGCAAAACUAACCAACAAAGGAACCUGUGGUUGUAAAAAAUCUUCUUUUGACAGUUUCAGAUCACAUUGCCUUGGUAUCAUCUGUGCCCUCCUUGUCUACCUUUCGUUUAUACCCCAACACUGUGGAGUUAAGUAGAGUUUGGGGGGGGGGGCUUCAUAGCAAACUAAUAAUCCUGGAUUUCUCUUCUCAGUUUCCUUACUAAAGUGGCAUGUUGGGUAUAACCAAAACUCCCUGUGGAAUGGAGAAAUAGUCACUUUUCUUUCUCCUCUUAAAGAUAACACUGGAAGUUUUCAUAUGUGAUAAAAUCGCCUCCAAGUAGGUGAAAGGCCCCUAAUUAACUGCCCACAGGCAGGGAAUUAGGUAUCUGCUUCCUCAGGGGGGGGUCCCUUGAGGGUGGGGCUUCACGAACACAAACACAAGAUGCCCAGUUAAACUGGAAGCAUUUUUGGUAAUAUUUGAGAUACUCUUAUACUAAAUAGUUACUCACUGUUUAUCUGCAACUCCAAGUUACUAGCGUGUCAUGGAUUUUAUCUGAUAACUCUGUGGGGGCGGGGUGGAGGGAAGGCAGAAAAAAAAAAAAAAAAAAAAAAAAAAAAAAAAAAAAAAAAAAAAAAAAAAAAAAAAGCAGAUUCUGGGAUCCCUCAAGGGGACUGCCCCGGGGAAAGUCACUGACGAAAAACAAAACAGCCACAAACCACUGUGGGCAGGUGUUCCAGGGUAAUUCAUGCCUUCUUCUUAUGUGUGUUGGCAGUAGCUCGGAUGUCUUCCCUCUCUGGGUGUAUUAAGAGCUCAGUUAGGGAUGCUGAUCACCUGGCUCAUCAAUGUCCACUGAGGAAUAUAUGGGAGGGAACUCCUCAAGCCCCAAGCUUUUGGGAUUGUGGGUUCUGUCCUUUCAGACAUAUAUCUGUGUGGGGCUGGGAUGCUGGGUGUCCUCUUCUUAGAGACACAGCAAUCCGUCAUUGCCUUGAGGUCCAGAGUCCCCAGUUGUC
rnacentral:lncRNA from 1 species